GACAGAGGCCUCAAGCGUUAGGCGGGAUCACUGGGCUUAAAGCGUGUGUAGGCGGAUCGUUAAGUGUCUUGUGAAAUCCCACGGCUCACCCGUGGAACUGCUGGGCAUACUGGCGAUCUUGGGCCAACUAGGGGCAGCCGGAACAAGCGGUGGAGCGGUGAAAUGCGUAGAUAUCGCUUGGAACGCCGAAGGUGAAAACAGGCUGCUGGGGUUGCGCCGACGCUGAGACACGAAAGCCAGGGGAGCAAACGGG
rnacentral:rRNA from 1 species